rnacentral:lncRNA from 1 species
UUUCUAUUCCUAUUCAAUUCUAAAUAUGAUUGUAUAAACCUAUUCCUAUUCUACUAGGAUUGUAUAAACCUAUUCCUAUUCUAAUAGGAUUGUAUAAACCUAUUCCUAUUCUAAUAGGAUUGUAUAAACCUAUUCCUAUUCUAAUAGGAUUGUAUAAACCUAUUCCUAUUCUAAUAGGAUUGUAUAAACCUAUUCCUAUUCUAAUAGGAUUGUAUAAACCUAUUCCUAUUCUAAUAGGAUUGUAUAAACCUAUUCCUAUUCUAAUAGGAUUGUAUAAACCUAUUCCUAUUCUAAUAGGAUUGUAUAAACCUAUUUAUAUUCUAACACUCCCCCUCAAGCUAGUGCAUACAAUUCAUGUACCUAGCUUGUUACAAAUGUAAUUAACACGAGGACCGAUGAGGGACUUGGUGAGAUAUCUGCAAGUUGAUCAGUCGACUUCACAAAAUUGACA